rnacentral:rRNA from 1 species
AACGAACGCUGGCGGCAUGCCUAACACAUGCAAGUCGAACGAGACCUUCGGGUCUAGUGGCGCACGGGUGCGUAACGCGUGGGAACCUGCCUUUAGGUUCGGAAUAACUCAGAGAAAUUUGAGCUAAUACCGGAUAAUGUCUUCGGACCAAAGAUUUAUCGCCUUUAGAUGGGCCCGCGUUGGAUUAGCUAGUUGGUGGGGUAAAGGCCUACCAAGGCGACGAUCCGAUAGCUGGUCUGAGAGGAUGAUCAGUCACACUGGAACUGAGACACGGUCCAGACUCCUACGGGAGGCAGCAGUGGGGAAUAUUGGACAAUGGGCGAAAGCCUGAUCCAGCCAUGCCGCGUGUGUGAAGAAGGUCUUCAGAUUGUAAAGCACUUUAAGUUGGGAGGAAGGGCAGUAAGUUAAUAACCUUGCUGUUUUGACGUUACCAACAGAAUAAGCACCGGCUAACUUCGUGCCAGCAGCCGCGGUAAUGUGACUACUG